rnacentral:tRNA from 1 species
GACUCCGUGGCGCAACGGUAGCGCGUCUGACUCCAGAUAAGAAGGUAGCGUGUUCAAAUCACGUCGGGGUCA